AGUAGGUGGACGAACAGAGGUGCUCCCAUUCCACUGUAUAGUGCUGGGUCCUGGGUCCAACUGGCCCUCCUCCAAGUGUGGUCUAUGACCUGGCAGCAUGGGCCUCUCCUGGGAGCUGAGCUUGUGGGAAAGGCAGGAUCUGAGGCCCCUACUUCGACCUGCUGAAUCAGAAUCUACAUCUGAACAAGGUCCCUAGCUGUAACAGCGCCCCCCUCUACUGUGAGCUACCAUGGACUACCGUGAGCACUGCGGGUUCCUCACCGCACUCAGGACCAUCUGUUCAUACUGACCGUCUGGAACAAAAAGAAAACCAGCGUGUCCACUGGUGAGACUAACGGUUCCGUGAGCCGCGGCCAGGAAAAGGCAGCAAACAAAGUGAACAGUCAGCCAAGGAGCAUUUGCUGGAGAUUUACGUGGAAACCUGCUCACAGAUGCAGAGCUGCUGGAUUUAUAACAAGGAUCUUCCAACGGAGGCUCCAGAACCAAGAAAACACAGGUCUCCUCUUGUGAAGCCAGGAUUAGAACUUACUACUGUUAGGCACCCAACCCCUCUUUGCCCAAGCUGAUCCCAGAGUCCUGAUUCCAGGGACUCUGAAGAUCAUGAAGGUCUCUUAUUAAUCUCCCUCUGCCCAUGAUUUCCAUAUUCUUGGUGCAGACAGUGUGUAUAGUGUAUUACAUUCUGUGGAAAACAAAGAAGGUGAAAGAGGAAAAUGCCUUUGGGUUUACACAUGAGCCAGAGAGAAAGGGGGACCAGCGCAUCUUGCAUCUUACGGUAUUCAAGAGUAUGCUAAUGACGUUUCACCUUAUGACCUGUGAAUAUAUGGGAAUGAAAAUUGCUGGGAUCGCCUCUGCGAUGCAUGGCCUCUGAUGGGGGCAUUCCAGAUUAACUGUGAUAUUGUGGGGACUGCAAGUGACGUGAAGAGACAAAGGAAGGACUGUCAUAGGAGUGCAGGAAUUCUGAUAUAAGGCCAUCCAGUUCAGCCUGCCCUGAGAAUAAAGAAGCUUCCUCGUUUCUCUGAAUCCGUGAAUUCUGCAGAGAUGGCGCCAUGCAAGGUUCUGGGAGACUCUGUCACAGUUGUCCCUUUGCUGGAAUGGUCUGCAAAGACUGGAGGGGGGGGUCCCCUUUCAGUAGUUUUGAGGGAUGCGGAGCGACAUGCCUGCCCUGCUGGGUUCUUUCUACUGCCAGUGUAGCCAUGGGACCUCAGACAAGUCAACCUCACCGAGCCUGACUUCCCUCUCACCUUGAGGAUACACCUAGUCCCAACCUCACAGGGUUCUGUGAGGGCCACUGCAAGACAAUCCACAUAAAGCGCCAGCAAAGUGCUUCACUUGGUCAGUGCUUAGAAACGUUUGCCGUGCUAAUCUCUCAGAAGGCUUAACUGGAUCAUCAUGGUGGAUGAGACUGAUACAGCAUAUGGGCCUCUAUGUUUUCUAGACCUGAAGGCAGGCGGGCUAAUACAGAGCGGAGACUAGAACAGUGGUUUAUGACUUGUUGCAACACUCAGACAACCCUCUAUUUCUUCUAGUAGGUUUUUCUUGUACUAAGUGACAGAGUCCUUGUUUACUCCAUAGUGACACAUGGGGCUUGAAGUGCGAAGACAGGGAUCUGUCAGGCUUACAUAGGGGAAAUGAGAGUAAAAAAUCCUUGUUUGUGUGGGGAGGGAUGUGGAAGACAAAACGGAGAGAGAGAGAAUGACAGAAGUUUACCUGUGUAGGACAUUAUUUUAGAACCAGACUAGGGUAGAAUGUUCUUUAAGAGAAAUAUUAGAUGCUAAGGCAAAACAUAUAGUUUGUGGUCUUACCUGGAAGCCUUUGAUACCAGCCUAGGCAUUUAGAAUUGAUCUUGUAGGUAGUGGAGGACCAUUGAAGGUUCUUAGACUAGUGACAGGUCUCCAGUAUGGGAGACAAUACUGAAUUAGCAAAUUAGUUAGGAAACAGGAUAGUUAUUAUCUACAACUAAAGCAUUAUUAUGUUCAACUCAAGAAUAAUCCCCUGGCACAGAGCCUCUUGUUCUCAACAUAUGCCUGCUACAUUUUUUUUGAAUAUAAAAUUGCUGUAGCCCAGAUGUCACGGGGUCUCAUCAGGCCUCUCCAGCUUUUUAAUAUAAAAUGACUUUGCAUUUUAGUUAAACCUGCAGUAAGUGACUCUAAGUCUUUGUCUUGCACAUAUCCAGCCCAAGGAAUGAGAUGAGGUUGGACAUGGUGGCAUCCCUCCACCCUCCUUGCUCCUCCUGCCCCCUGCCCUUAAAUCUGAAACCAGGUCCUGGGUCCUGCUGAUUUUUCUGGUUCUCCUCUGACACUGCCUACCACCAAGCCCCAUUUCUCCAAGCUUCCCAAAGUUCCAUGGCAAGUAUGGUGCAAAGCACUGAUGGAGAAUGGAUAAAGCUGGACAAAAUGCCAUGAAGCCAGUACCACGCAAUUCCAUCAGUGGAGGGAGCCACCACUUAUCACAGCCUUCUGCCUUUACAAACUAUCCAUGAGGUCCCCUCCAUGGUGGGCACAGCCUCGUCAUGGGAACUGAAGGCUAAGAGGACAGGAUGGGGGAAAUAAAAUCCAGUUUGUCUUGAAUUUUUGACAUUUUGUUCAUGGCAUCCUAAUUGCCUUUCAUACUUCCUUUGUCUUUUAAGCUUUUUUCCAUCAUUAAAAAAAUGAAUUGUGUCAGUUGC